rnacentral:rRNA from 1 species
UACGUAGGGGGCGAGCGUUGUCCGGAUUUAUUGGGCGUAAAGAGCUCGUAGGCGGUUUGGUAAGUUGGAUGUGAAAUCUCCAGGCUCAACUUGGAGGGGUCAUUCGAUACUGCCAUGACUAGAGUUCGGUAGGGGAGUGUGGAAUUCCUGGUGGAGCGGUGAAAUGCGCAGAUAUCAGGAGGAACACCGGUGGCGGAGGCGGGUCUCUGGGCCGAUACUGACGCUCAUGCACGAAAGCGUGGGGAGCAAACAGG